GAACUCGUCAACUUCCUGUCGGUACUUGAAGAAGCGGAGCCAGGGCUGAGAUCCCGAAGGCGGGCGAGGCCGCAGUUCGGGGGCCACGCCCCGGCGUGCUCGGGUCACCGCGGGAAGCCCUUGAACCCCCUGGCGCCCGGCACCCACGUGCGGUAACCGCGGCUCCUCGAGAGCUCCAGGGAUGCGGAUCUACAGUAAGGGCUGUGGCCAGAUGAAUGAAUGCACAUUUUUUAGUGGGCAGAAAGAUGUUAGAAUUCAUGAAUUAGAAUAAGCACAAAGGAGGGCGAGAGGGGAGGCCGUGGAAGCCGCAUUCCUCCCCUUGCCUUGGGCGCCCACCCCCGAAGGGGCGCGUCCCCUCCCUGCUCCACUGCACGUGGGUGUUUAACCAGGGGAUAUCCAGUGCCUCAAGCACCACGACCCGGGAGAAAACUGAGUUGAGAAGGGUCCAUUCAAGAAUUGUGCCCACAAUAUACCAGGCACUUGUCCAGACCUGCAUCGUCCAAUGCCCACCUCGACCUCCCAAAGUGUUGGGAUUAGAGGCGUGAGCCACCGCGCCCUGCCUGCAUGUGGCUAUUGAGAUGUGCUGUAUGAUACACACCGGACUUUGAAGACUCAGUGUGAAAAAUAAAAAGAAUUUUAAGAGGGGUGGGGGUCGAGGGGAGGCAGAGCAGUAGGACAAAUAGCUAAUGCACGCAGGGCUUAAAACCUAGACAACAGGUUGAUGGGUGCAGCAAACCACCAUGACACAUGUUUAUCUAUAUAGCACCUACAUGUUCUGCACUUGUAUCCUGGAACUUAAAAUUAGAAAAAAAAAAUAAUAAAAGCCAACAUGGCAUUCAUUACUGCCAA
rnacentral:lncRNA from 1 species